CGGCACUUUUUGCCGGCCGACUGCUUCCGUGGGCCCGGCAUCAUGAAGGCCAUCAUCCAGCGCGUCACUCGCGCCAGCGUGACAGUGAUCUGGAUCAGUGGAGCAGGAAAAGAAUAAGUUUCGUUCCCUUUGCUGUGGAAGAAGAACCUUGACAAAUAUUUUUGAUACCAUCAUUCUGUAGCACUACAGACCACUUCUCUUCUGUUGAGUGAUUAAACACAGGAAUGUGUUCCUCUUAUAAUUAACAGAACACAGCAUUCAAAGGCUAUGCAACAUUCUAAUUUUCAUCCAAAGCAGCAGUCACAUGAAGGAAUAGUUGGAGGAGAGCAGAUAAGUUCCAUUGGAAAAGGAAUUUGUGUGCUGUUGGGUAUUUCGGUGGAAGACACUCAGAAAGAGCUUGAGCAUAUGGUUCGAAAGAUUUUAAACUUGCGUGUGUUUGAAGAUGAAAGUGGGAAACAUUGGUCUAAAAGUGUAAUGGACAAGCAGUAUGAAGUGCUGUGUGUCAGCCAAUUUACUCUUCAGUGUAUACUGAAAGGAAACAAGCCAGAUUAUCAUAUGGCCAUGCCUACAGAGCAAGCAGAGUCUUUCUAUAAUAGCUUCCUAGAACAUCUUCGUAAAACAUACAAGCCAGAGCUUGUUAAAGAUGGCAAGUUUGGUGAAUACAUGCAGGUACACAUCCAGAAUGAUGGGCCUGUUACUAUAGAACUGGAGUCUUCUACAGCUCCCAUUGACUCGAAGCAGUUGGCAAAACUUGAGAAACAGCAACAGAGGAAAGAGAAGUCCAGAAUGAAGGUUCCAUCGGAGUCAAGCAGAGAAAGGAACAUUCCUAGAAGUAAAAACGAUCCUAGUGCAAGCAGUGGUGCUGAGGGGGACGUGUCUUCCGAAAGGGAACCUUAGGUUAUUUUUUAAAAAUGCAUUCAGGAGGUUUUGUGAGCAGCUACAAUGAUGGGUGAAUUACCCCGGGCCAUAGAUGACCACAAGAACAACAUAGUAAUGAGUUAAGACUCUUGGCAGAGGGUGAAAAUGACCAAGUGAUCAAAAUGUAGUUUGGUUGUAUCAUGAAGAAGGCAAGAUUCAUUGGAAAAGACAAACCUCCAUAAGAUGCUACUGGUGACCUUCUGCGUUCAUUGGCAGAUGACACUCAAUUUCUAGACUGAAAAAAAUGAGAAAGAAAAAAACUUGGAACAGAGAAGUAAGAAGAAUCUGCAUCAUGCUGUAUUCGAAAACAACCAAAGGAAUGCUAUCUGUUUCCACUGCUAAUAUGCUUAAAAUGGAGGUGGUAGAUUAUUUAUUUAUUUUCUCUUUGAGUCAUUUGUUAUCUUCUUGUUGAAGUGUGGCUGUCACUGGUUGAUUGGGUCCGAUAUAUCUGAAAAAUAAUCACAUCAUCUGUCCUGGCCUUUGGGGUCUGCAAAUGUUCUUUUCUUGGUAUAUGUCUCCCCCUUCUUUCCACAAUCAUCAUGAUGAAUCUAUUGAUAAUUGUAGAGGCUGGCUAGAGAAGUGUGAGAGAGGUGCUCGCAGCUGUUUGGAAGCACAGUGCAAUUACAAGGCUGAACCCCCAGCUUGUAAUUUCAGUCCUUAAGAGGAAGGUUGAGGUUAAUCUGUGAUGUAUUGCCUGAACUGAAACAGGUGAUUGCUUGUAGUCUCCUGCUGUGCUUUGGAAGCACUUGGAGUGCCUCCAAAGCUCAACAUGAUGUUAGAUGUGAGACCUGACCUGUUCCCCAUUGGAUGACUGCCCAUAUCCUGGCAGCCAUGCAUUGUCCCAGCCAAAAUCUAUGGAGUCCCAAUUUCUAAACAUACAUGUUACUGGUGCAACAGGGAACAACAAUGCCACAACCAUUACAUAAGAAUCACUCCUUUGUCUGAUUUCACAGUCUCCCUUCUGACAUUUUGUUGGCAGUAUGGAAGCUACUGCAGUAUCACUUAUUUUCAUAUCCCCAAGAAAUAUGAGAAGCCAGGGGCCCUGUUGCAGCUACCACCCAACUCCCCCCAGAAAUAAUCAGUGAUGAGCUGCACCAUAGGAUUCUCCCCUUUGGCACAAGGCUUCCUGGGUGACCUUGGUAAUACUGCUGCUGCAUUACAUAAAAAGGGGGACUGACACUGCUGAAUGAGAAAGAUGGUUUUUCUAUGCAGGUUGUAUUGUAAUGGAUCAUUUGAUCCUUUUUGAUAAAAUCAAUUUUUCCCUACAUUUUCACUUCAAUUCUAAAGAGCAAGCUUAUAUUUUAAUCCCAUCAAUGUAUCAUCUAGUGUCUUUUUUCAUUACACUAUACAAAAUGUGCUCAGUGUGUGUGUGUAUAUGUGUGUGUGUGUGUGUGUGUGUGUGUGUGUGUGUGUGUGACUAUCCAGUUUGUGGGAAAUAAUUGAAUUUAAAUGAGAAUGAUCUUUCAUUUACUUAUCCUGUGAAUAGUGUGUGUUUAUACGUGUCUUUUAAACUUUUUCAGAAAGGAACUAACUUCGUUAAUAAAGUAUGCCACCUGAAUUCUC